CUCCGGUUGAUCCCGCCGGACCCGACUGCUAUCAGAGUGGGACUAAGCCAUGCGAGUCAACAUAGCAAUAUGUGGCAUACGGCUCAGUAACACGUAGUCAACAUGCCCAGGGGACGUGGAUAACCUCGGGAAACUGAGGAUAAACCGCGAUAGGUCAUCACUUCUGGAAUGGGUAAUGACUUAAAUCUAUAUGGCCCCUGGAUUGGACUGCGGCCGAUCAGGCUGUUGGUGAGGUAAUGGCCCACCAAACCUGUAACCGGUACGGGCUCUGAGAGGAGGAGCCCGGAGAUGGGCACUGAGACAAGGGCCCAGGCCCUAUGGGGCGCAGCAGGCGCGAAACCUCUGCAAUAGGCGAAAGCUUGACAGGGUUACUCUGAGUGAUUUCCGUUAAGGAGAUCUUUUGGCACCUCUAAAAAUGGUGCAGAAUAAGGGGUGGGCAAGUCUGGUGUCAGCCGCCGCGGUAAUACCAGCACCCCGAGUGGUCGGGACGUUUAUUGGGCCUAAAGCAUCCGUAGCCGGUUCUACAAGUCUUCCGUUAAAUCCACCUGCUUAACAGAUGGGCUGCGGAAGAUACUAUAGAGCUAGGAGGCGGGAGAGGCAAGCGGUACUCGAUGGGUAGGGGUAAAAUCCGUUGAUCCAUUGAAGACCACCAGUGGCGAAGGCGGCUUGCCAGAACGCGCUCGACGGUGAGGGAUGAAAGCUGGGGGAGCAAACCGGAUUAGAUACCCGGGUAGUCCCAGCUGUAAACGAUGCAGACUCGGUGAUGAGUUGGCUUAUUGCUAACUCAGUGCCGCAGGGAAGCCGUUAAGUUUGCCGCCUGGGGAGUACGGUCGCAAGACUGAAACUUAAAGGAAUUGGGGGGGGAACA
rnacentral:rRNA from 1 species